rfam:Trypanosoma theileri isolate Edinburgh TM35_Tth_4_V1, whole genome shotgun sequence.
AGUGUCUUCAGGUAAUGUAGUAGCUGUUGAUCCCAUCAGUACUGCAGGUUCAAGAGGCACGAGA